UGUGUAGGCGGCUUCGUAAGUUCGGUGUGAAAUCUCCCGGCUUAACUGGGAGGGUGCGCCGAAAACUGCGAAGCUGGAGCGCAGGAGAGGAAAGCAGAAUUCCUGGUGUAGCGGUGAAAUGCGUAGAUAUCAGGAGGAAUACCGGUGGUGAAGGCGGCUUUCUGGACUGCUGCUGACGCUGAUACACGAAAGCGUGGGGAGCAAACA
rnacentral:rRNA from 1 species